rnacentral:rRNA from 1 species
GACGAACGCUGGCGGCGUGCUUAACACAUGCAAGUCGAACGGAAAGGCCCUGCUUUUGUGGGAUGCUCGAGUGGCGAACGGGUGAGUAACACGUGAGUAACCUGCCCUUGACUUUGGGAUAACUUCAGGAAACUGGGGCUAAUACCGGAUAGGAGCUCCUGCUGCAUGGUGGGGGUUGGAAAGUUUCGGCGGUUGGGGAUGGACUCGCGGCUUAUCAGCUUGUUGGUGGGGUAGUGGCUUACCAAGGCUUUGACGGGUAGCCGGCCUGAGAGGGUGACCGGCCACAUUGGGACUGAGAUACGGCCCAGACUCGUACGGGAGGCAGCAGUGGGGAAUAUUGCACAAUGGGCGGAAGCCUGAUGCAGCAACGCCGCGUGCGGGAUGACGGCCUUCGGGUUGUAAACCGCUUUCGCCUGUGACGAAGCGUGAGUGACGGUAAUGGGUAAAGAAGCACCGGCUAACUACGUG